CCUACGGGUGACAGCAGUGAGGAAUAUUGGUCAAUGGGCGCGAGCCUGAACCAGCCAAGUAGCGUGAAGGAUGACUGCCCUACGGGUUGUAAACUUCUUUUAUAAAGGAAUAAAGUGAGGCACGUGUGCCUUUUUGUAUGUAUUUUAUGAAUAAGGAUCGGCUAACUCCGUGCCAGCAGCCGCGGUAAUACGGAGGAUCCGAGCGUUAUCCGGAUUUAUUGGGUUUAAAGGGAGCGUAGAUGGGUUGUUAAGUCAGUUGUGAAAGUUUGCGGCUCAACCGUAAAAUUGCAAUUGAUACUGGCAGCCUUGAGUACAGUAGAGGUAGGCGGAAUUCGUGGUGUAGCGGUGAAAUGCUUAGAUAUCACGAAGAACCCCGAUUGCGAAGGCAGCUUACUAAACUGUGACUGACAUUGAUGCUCGAAAGUGUGGGUAUCAAACAGGAUUAGAUACCCCAGUAGUC
rnacentral:rRNA from 1 species